UACAGAGGGUGCAAACGUUGUUCGGAAUUACUGGGCGUAAAGCGCGUGUAGGCGGCUAUGUAAGUCGGGCGUGAAAUCCCACGGCUCAACCGUGGAAGUGCACCCGAAACUGCGUAGCUAGAGUCCUGGAGAGGAAGGUGGAAUGCUUGGUGUAGAGGUGAAAUUCGUAGAUAUCAAGCGGAACACCGGUGGCGAAGGCGGCCUUCUGGACAGUGACUGACGCUGAGACGCGAAAGCGUGGGGAGCAAACAGG
rnacentral:rRNA from 1 species